rnacentral:lncRNA from 1 species
AUACAUCAAUCAGGAAACAGUUUCAAAAUAUAUACAAAUAAGAGCAUCCUGAGCAGGUUACUUAUUAGUCACAACGGACACAAAUUUCAAAUUGGAAAUAACAUCAUUGGUACUAUGGCUUAUGGUCAGUAGUGUCACUAAUGGUCGAAUACAUUACACUUCACCGAAAAACUUUAGAACACCGGAGCAAAUGCUUUUAUGAUAGCAGUUUGAACUUCAGACAUAAUUGUCUUGAACAAAUAUCCAACUGUAGCACUCUGCACAUGAGGAAAAAACCCACGGUUAGAUACUAUGCACUGGAAAAAAUAAGUUUGAAAUACAAAGGUCUAAGAUUUCAGAGUAUUGCGUCAUCUCAUAUGAAACAAAUAAUUUGGGAACAAUUCCUACAUGCCUAGCACGAAGAGCAAAUAUAUGUGUACGAGCAUAAUGAGUAGAAUUCAAUUCUGAAUAUAAAAAAAGCGACAAAUAUGACUUUGUUUUCAAUCACCAUGUGAGAAUCAAGGCUUGAAUCUUUCAUCAUUCAUCUCCGAUGACAUAUAAUAUACUGAUACAACUCCUUACAUUAGUGUUUUCAUAAUUAACAAAAUGAAUAAAAAGGCUAGAAAUAGAGCCUCAUGUAUGAUCAAUGCAGCAUACUACUAAACAAUGGAUCCAGAAUGCACCAGAGCCAGUCUGGAAGGCAGAAAACAAAAGGCCUCUUUAAAGACCUUGAGAGAGAAAAUACCAGGGAAAGUGAAGGUUAAAUAUCGGACCAAAAUCAUUAUCGUUGGGGCCAAUCCUGUAUUAUUAUGCUGCUGCUACUACUAUUAGUAGUAAUACAGAUGGUCUAAAAUGUUCUGCAGGGUCUAGCUCCAGACCUUUGCACGGCCGGAAG